UGAGGAAUAUUGCACAAUGGGCGAAAGCCUGAUGCAGCGACGCCGCGUGAGGGAUGACGGCCUUCGGGUUGUAAACCUCUUUCAGUAGGGACGAAGCGCAAGUGACGGUACCUGCAGAAGAAGCACCGGCUAACUACGUGCCAGCAGCCGCGGUAAUACGUAGGGUGCGAGCGUUGUCCGGAAUUACUGGGCGUAAAGAGCUCGUAGGCGGUUUGUCACGUCGUCUGUGAAAUCCUAGGGCUUAACCCUGGACGUGCAGGCGAUACGGGCUGACUUGAGUACUACAGGGGAGACUGGAAUUUCUGGUGUAGCGGUGGAAUGCACAGAUAUCAGGAAGAACACCGAUGGCGAAGGCAGGUCUCUGGGUAGUAACUGACGCUGAGGAGCGAAAGCAUGGGUAGCGAACAGG
rnacentral:rRNA from 1 species